CAGCCAUGGUUUAUUUUCCCGUAGGCUAUUCCCAACAAAAGAGCUUGAACAGUGCUGCAUUUGCAUCAGGUUCAAAUGAGCGAGAGGAACAUUUGGCUAAAAUAUUUGGAACCAGUGUUGUUUGGAAAUCUCCUAAACCAGAAUAUUUCCUUGGCAGUGUGGACAAAAUUCCCGAUAAAGAGACUGGGUUUCACUGUGUUAGCCAGGAUGGUCUCCAUCUCCUGACCUUGUGAUCCGCCCGCCUCUGCCUCCCAAAGUGCUGGGAUUACAGGCAUGAGCCACCGUGCCUGGCCUAGAAUGUCCUUUCUUUUUGAAACCGAGUAAUAUUCCAUUAUCACCUUUCAGAGGAGAAGAGUUUUAAAGAAUCCUCUCUGUUCGACAGGGUUUUAAGAGAGCAGUUAACUACUGUAGAUAAAGAAACACUUCAAGGGGCAGCUAAACCAGAUCUCCUCCGGCAAACACGACAUAUAAUAUUUUUAUAAUGAAUGGAAAGACAUGGUGGCAAAAUUCUGAAGAAAAAAAUUUCACAAAAUGUGCAAAAAAACAGAAACAGUUGAAGAGCAGCUCCGGCGUCUAAGCCAGGUCGUGGGGCAGUCAAACCAGGACUUGAAACCACAAUGCGAGCACAUUCUUCAUCUGCACACCACAGGGAGGCAAUUCCAUUUCUGCCUGGGAGGUGUAUUCUACAAAAACGUCUGCUUCCCGUCCCAAUUUGAAUGGACCAAGAAAAACUGCUUUACUGUAGGACACUUGUGGCCAUAUGGCACUGGUGGCUGGUGUCGGCGAACCCGACAGACUAU
rnacentral:sRNA from 1 species